UUAAUAAUUUCUUAAACUAAUAAAACCUUUUUUUCUUAUUUAUUUAUUUAUUUACUUUGUUAUGCUUCAGUAGAUAGCUGUAGAGAGCUGUAGAUCUUUCAGAUUGCAGAGUUUGUCGUCUCCUCCCGAACGCGUGCGCUGGAGUUGAAGCUGCCGUGGCCAUGGGAGUGUUGUUCAUGUCAGAUCGACUGCUGUGGAUGGCUUCCCUUCUUCCAGGUAACAAGCUUCAAAACCCAGGCCAAGGUUUCAGAUUUGGCAAGAGCAAA
rnacentral:lncRNA from 1 species